CUACGGGGUGCUCCAGUGGGGAAUAUUGGACAAUGGGGGAAACCCUGAUCCAGCAAUGCCGCGUGUGUGAAGAAGGCCUGCGGGUUGUAAAGCCCUUUCGGUUGGGAGGACUGCUUCUAGCACUAAUAUUGUUGGAAGUUGACGUUACCUUCAGAAGAAGCACCGGCUAGCUCCGUGCCAGCAGGCCGCGGUAAUACGGAGGGUGCAAGCGUUAAUCGGAAUUACUGGGCGUAAAGCGCGCGUAGGCGGCUAGAUCAGUCGGGUGUGAAAGCCCCGGGCUUAACCUGGGAACUGCAUCCGAUUCUGUCUAGCUUGAGUACAGGAGAGGAGAGUGGAAUUCCACAUGUAGCGGUGAAAUGCGUAGAUAUGUGGAGGAACACCAAUGGCGAAGGCAGCUCUCUGGCCUGAUACUGACGCUGAGGUGCGAAAGCGUGGGGAGCAAACAGGAUUAGAUACCCUUGUAGUC
rnacentral:rRNA from 1 species